AACGAACGCUGGCGGCAGGCUUAACACAUGCAAGUCGAACGGGUGUAGCAAUACAUCAGUGGCAGACGGGUGAGUAACACGUGGGAACCUUCCUAGAGGUACGGAACAACUCAGGGAAACUUGAGCUAAUACCGUAUACGCUCUUGCGAGGAAAGAUUUAUCGCCUUUAGACGGGCCCGCGUCGGAUUAGCUAGUUGGUGGGGUAACGGCCUACCAAGGCGACGAUCCGUAGCUGAGCUGAGAGGAUGAUCAGCCACACUGGGACUGAGACACGGCCCAGACUCCUACGGGAGGCAGCAGUGGGGAAUCUUGGACAAUGGGCGCAAGCCUGAUCCAGCCAUGCCGCGUGAGUGAAGAAGGCCUUCGGGUUGUAAAGCUCUUUUGUCAGGGACGGUAAUGACGGUACCUGAAGAAUAAGCCCCGGCAAACUUCGUGCCAGCCGCCGCGGUAACAC
rnacentral:rRNA from 1 species